rnacentral:rRNA from 1 species
UACGUAGGUGGCAAGCGUUGUUCGGAAUUAUUGGGCGUAAAGGGCGCGUAGGCGGUCUUGUAAGUCAGCUGUGAAAGCCCGGGGCUCAACCCCGGAGGGUCGGCUGAUACUGCAGGACUGGAGUACGGAAGAGGUAGCUGGAAUUCCCGGUGUAGCGGUGAAAUGCGUAGAUAUCAGGAGGAAUACCGGUGGCGAAAGCGACUCUCUGGACGGCAACUGACGCUGAGGCACGAAAGCGUGGGGAGCAAACAGG